rnacentral:snRNA from 1 species
GAAGCAUACUCAAAAAUUCAGA